UCUUCCCAUUCCGAACAGAGCCGUUAAGCCUGCCCGCGCCGAUGGUACUGCAAUGUAAUGCGGGAGAGUAGGUCGCCGCCUUCU
rnacentral:rRNA from 1 species